rnacentral:tRNA from 1 species
GCGGACGUGGUGGAAUCGGUAGACACAAGGGACUUAAAAUCCCUCGGCUUCGGCCAUGCGGGUUCGAGUCCCGCCGUCCGCACCA